GAAUGGGAGGGCAAGCUGGCUGUGACAUCUGUCAUCCCAUUAAUCACCAGGGUUGAUUCGGCUGAUCUAGCUGCCUACGUGGGUGUCUCCUUCCUCCUUCACUGCUCCAUGUACCUCCCUCCUGAAGCUGCAGCUGAAUGGGAAAGGACAACCUUCCCUAAUAGAGGAGGAGCGUUCUUCACUCAAGGGUAAGGGAAUAGCAGUGCUCCUCUGCUAGAACCUGCAAACAAGUUCUCAAGGUCCAUCUGUAGGAGAAAGUAGUGUGGUCAAGCUUCCAAGACACCGUACACAUCCAAAUGAAGCACUGUACGUGGCAAUCUGCCUUUCUUU
rnacentral:snRNA from 1 species